rnacentral:sRNA from 1 species
UAAGAAAUGAGUACAAAAUAAUGGUCAA